rnacentral:tRNA from 2 species
GGGCGAGUGCUGUAAUGGUAGCCAGGCUGGUUUCAGAAGCCAGUGGAGUAAAAUCCGUGGAGGUUCAAAUCCUCUCUCGCCCACCA